GGGUGGUGGAUGUCAACGUGAAAAACGAGUAGAAUAUAAUGGAGAGACCUACGCAUACUCGAAGCAUCCUGCAAUUGAAAGCGUUUACAGCGUGCAUUUUGCCACAGAUAAACGAGUUCACCUGGAUGGUCGGCCUCUUAAAUGACUAUAUACCUUCAUUGAUAGAGGGGAUAAGUGAUGCAGGUAGUAUGAAGGAGGGGAUUCUAUGGUGACCUAGUUUCAAGAGUAGUGACGUCGAUGAGAGAGACCAUUCACCCAACAGCAUAUCGCGUUAACGUCAAAAAUGGGUUCGUUUCUUAAAUGUAAUGUCAAAACAUAUCGUGUGGUUGGUUGUGUAAAAUAAACCUACUAUUUUUUAUUUCA
rnacentral:lncRNA from 1 species